GGAGUUUGGUCCGUGUCUCAGUACCAAUGUGGGGGACCUUCCUCUCAGAACCCCUACUGAUCGAUGGCUUGGUGGGCCGUUACCCCGCCAACAACCUAAUCAGACGCAUCCCCAUCCCUUAGCGAUAAAUCUUUGUUCCAGCUCAGAUGUCUUCAUUGGAAAACAUAGGGUAUUAAUCCGACUUUCGCCGGGCUAUGCCCUACUAAGGGAAGGUUGGAUACGUGUUACGCACCCGUGCGCCGGUCGCCAUCUAUCAAAGCAAGCUUCGAUAAUGCUGCCCCUCGACUUGCAUGUGUUAAGCCUGUAGCUAGCGUUCAUC
rnacentral:rRNA from 1 species